AACGCUUCUUUUUCCACCGGAGCUUGCUCCACCGGAAAAAGAGGAGUGGCGAACGGGUGAGUAACACGUGGGUAACCUGCCCAUCAGAAGGGGAUAACACUUGGAAACAGGUGCUAAUACCGUAUAACAAUCGAAACCGCAUGGUUUUGAUUUGAAAGGCGCUUUCGGGUGUCGCUGAUGGAUGGACCCGCGGUGCAUUAGCUAGUUGGUGAGGUAACGGCUCACCAAGGCCACGAUGCAUAGCCGACCUGAGAGGGUGAUCGGCCACAUUGGGACUGAGACACGGCCCAAACUCCUACGGGAGGCAGCAGUAGGGAAUCUUCGGCAAUGGACGAAAGUCUGACCGAGCAACGCCGCGUGAGUGAAGAAGGUUUUCGGAUCGUAAAACUCUGUUGUUAGAGAAGAACAAGGAUGAGAGUAACUGUUCAUCCCUUGACGGUAUCUAACCAGAAAGCCACGGCUAACUACGUGCCAGCAGCCGCGGUAAUACGUAGGUGGCAAGCGUUGUCCGGAUUUAUUGGGCGUAAAGCGAGCGCAGGCGGUUUCUUAAGUCUGAUGUGAAAGCCCCCGGCUCAACCGGGGAGGGUCAUUGGAAACUGGGAGACUUGAGUGCAGAAGAGGAGAGUGGAAUUCCAUGUGUAGCGGUGAAAUGCGUAGAUAUAUGGAGGAACACCAGU
rnacentral:rRNA from 1 species